ensembl:lncRNA
AUGGAAGAUGGAUCCACCAUGUUCUCAGGUAACAAUUUUAUUAUGUUUGAUGCAAUAUUAUUUAUAAAAUGUAUUCUAGAAUUGUCGUGGAAGGGGGCAUUUGGAUGCUUUGUAGGCUACAUAUACAGUAAACAUCCUAUUCAGUUUACCUACACUACCACGUUAUUCAGACAAUACAGACCAACAUCCACCAAGUUCAUAUGGUCAUCAUGCAUGUCGUGCACUAAAAAUAGUACUGUUUCUGAUUUAUUACAGAACAAUUCCCAGAUAGCAAGAUUUUUGGUUGACCGGGAGAUCAACGGGUGGUAUACCCAACGUACUGCACCGGACACAGCUCAUUUCUGGACCCUUGGCACAAGGGUACAGGUAAGCUUGGUUAAUGUUCGAUAUGAAUGAAUUGUACCAAAUCAAAUACUAGGCUGAUUUUUAACUUGAUGGUUAGUGUAGUAACCGACGCAGUGCUGCAGUCACUGAAAUUUAUUUUUGUUUUACCAAUAUGUCAAAAUCUGCCAAAAGUACUUUGUGGUUGUCUUCUAUGUUAUAAAGUUAGCAAACCUCCAAGUCCAGUCUAUUGAUGAGUCUAUUGAUGAGUCUAUGAUGAUAGCUAGCUCAAAAUACAUGUCUGUACCCAUUGAUAAGUGUCGUGAAAAUCUAUUAACACAGCACCGUUAUUUCUUCUGACCGCCAAACCAACGCUAGCAUAGUGCUCCACCUAGCGCUACCAACAGUGACCGCGGCGGGCCAGAAUUACACAGAAGACAUGACUUACCUUUAACUUUACUUUAUUCAAUGCAGAACUGUCUCGAGAGUUGUAACUGGAAAUGCCGAUUAGACCAUCUCGUCGUAAUACAAAUCCAAAAUAUUAAUAAUCCUCGAGCAGUGCUGCGAUAUGCAUUCCAUAGUUUUGUUCUCCAUUGUGUUUGUUUUCAGAAAUGAUAACAGUUGUUUUAUACUAGUGCUUAUGCGAUAUCACAAUUUUUGAUGAUCUUCUCCAAGAUCUGCUUUUGAGGAAAACAUUUCAUUGCCGUUCUGUUCUACACCAUUUCUGAGCACGUUUGCCUACAACCAAAGCGUGCGCACUAUUAUACAGCGCCUGACAACCAGGCCUGGCGUCUGGGAGGGGAGGGGAGGGGUGGCAUAGCCCACAUACCGGUACUUCAUAAUAGAAUAUUUUUAUAUUUUUAAUAACAGAUUGGUUACCUGAGUACAUAUGUAUAAAGUACAGUCACACUGUAUGAUUGUGAAUUUUAAUUGCUGUUUUUAACAGAGAUUUUUGUCUUUUCUGUUCUUUAACAGAUCACUAUUGCACACCAAGUAAGCAAAACAACAUUUUUGAUUUCAUUUUAUUUUAUUUCUGCAAACAACUU